AAUGUCUCUGUCUAUAUUUCAGAUAUGGACAAAACCAUUCACACAGUCACAAGAUAUAAUGACAAUCAUGGUUCCACAAUGUGAAAUAGUCACCCAUGCUGGCAGGUUAUAUAUAGAGGUAAUUCUCAAAGUGUGCUCCAGGAAGUUCUUGGGAUCUCUGUGGAGUCAAAACUACUUUCAAGGAUGGAUGUUGCCAAUAGAGAAGUAUCACCUUCUUUCAAAUCUUCUUCCAUUGAAAAAGUUAUCUGCAAGAGUCAAGAUGGCAACUUAGAAGCAGCAAAAGUUCAGACCUCCAAAUGCCCUUCCUCACCAAUCAAAAACACAAUGCUUCAAGGGGACUAAAAACCAAAUUAAACAACAGGAAAGAGCUAGGGAAACCUCCUGCUGGACUCAGCUUAAACGGUAUGCCUCCACGCCCCCCCCCCAAAAAAAAAGUCUGAAUUCUAGAACACACUGGUUUAAAGGGAAGGAAAAAGGAAGUUCCCAGGACCCCUCCCCCACCUACAGAGCUGAACCUCCAGUGGUGGCUGGGAUCUCUGGGUAGGGAAGUGAAUCCUGAGGGAGUACGUUGCUGACAAAGCUAUGCCAGCUUUAGAGUGUUGAACACAGGUGGCAGAGAGACACCUGGAGACGAAGUGCAGAGAAGGCAGUCUACUUGCAGCCAAGACAUCAAUCUUGCUGCCCUUAUUGAGAUUUUCGUCUCAGAACACAGUCAGCUCUGCAGAUCAAUUCUUCCCUGGCUCAAUCUGAUCAAUAGGUUAGAAAAGAAGCCUUUAGAGGGCAGAGAAGCUCAGCUUCCAAUAACCCCCCAGGCUGCCCUGAGAACCUUGGUGACUAAGCUCCAAGGGCAAGGGUUGCAACCACUAUAGGCUACAACCUUGAUAACAGGGUGGGAAGCCCCACUCCUUUUCAACUGAUGCUAUCAACUGGUGAAGAUCUGACCUCAGGACUCAUUAACACCAUCAGACACUAGAGCAAAAAAGAAAAGUAGAAAUUGAAAGAAUCCAUAGAUCACCUCCUGUACUUAAUCCUCAAUUGACAAUCCUCAGGAAUGUUAUAGCCAAAUUCAAGAACUAACAAACCAAGGAAAAAGUAUUGCAAGCUGCUAAGAAUUAGUCAUUCAGAUACAGUUAGGAUAACACAGGAUCUGUCCUCAUCUACACUGAAGGACUGAAAGGAAUGGAAUAUAAUAUUCUAGAAAGCAAGGAAAAUAGGUCUACAACCAAGAAUCAACUAACAGGAAACUGACUAUAUUCUUGCAGGGAAAGUAUGUUCAUGUAACAAAAUAAAGACUUCCAAGCAUUCA
rnacentral:lncRNA from 1 species